CGGUGAUGUGUGUGGCCAGGGCCGGGGGAUACGGAGGAGGGGAACGGUUACGCUGAAUUACUUGUCGUAAAGGGUGCGUAGGGUGUGUGUUAAGUCGUAUGUGAAAGCCCUGGGCGCAACCGGGGAAUGGCUGUGGAUACUGGCAGGCUAGAGUGCGGUAGAGGGUAGUGGAAUUCCCGGUGUAGCAGUGAAAUGCGUAGAGAUCGGGAGGAACAUCUGUGGCGAAGGCGACUACCUGGACCAGCACUGACACUGAGGCACGAAAGCGUGGGGAGCAAACAGGAUAGAUACCCCGGUAGUC
rnacentral:rRNA from 1 species